rnacentral:rRNA from 1 species
ACUCAAAUGAAUUGACGGGGACUUGCACAAGCGGUGGAUGAUGCGGCUCAAUUCGAUGAUAAACGAAGAACCUCACCAGGGUUUGAAACCCACACGAAACUCUUAGGAAACUUUGAGCCCCGCAAGGCGGGUGGGCAGGUGAUGCAUGGUCGUCGUCAAUUCGUGGCUUGAGUUGUUCCCUUCAGUGGGGUAACGAAUGUAACCCGCGUUGCCUGUUUUAUAUGUCAGGCGAGACUGCCCCCUCACGGGGGAGGAAGGUGCGGAUGACGCCAGAUCAGCAUGUCCCUCUGAUACCCUGGGCUGCACGCAUCAUACAAUGCGCGCGACAACGAGAUGCAAGACCGCAAGGUGGAGCAAAUCUUUAUAAACGCGCGCUCAGUUCGGAUUGGAGUCUGCAACUCGACUCCAUGAAGCUGGAAUCGCUAGUAAUCGCGGGUCAGCUAUACCGCGGUGAAUACGUUCUCAAGUCUUGUACACACCGCCCGU